rnacentral:rRNA from 3 species
UUUAAUUGAAGAGUUUGAUCAUGGCUCAGAUUGAACGCUGGCGGCAGGCCUAACACAUGCAAGUCGAGCGGUAACAGAUUGAUAGCUUGCUAUCAAUGCUGACGAGCGGCGGACGGGU